rnacentral:misc_RNA from 1 species
GGAAGUAAAAGUCGUAACAAGAUUUCCGUAGGUGAACCUGCGGAAGGAUCAUUCAUAAUGAGUGUUUAUGGCACUUUUAAAAAUCCAUACCCACCUUGUGUGCAUCGUUAGUCAUGUUCCUUGUUCUCUCUUGAGAGGACAAGGAGGCAGGCUUCAAAUUAAUCUAUCUUUAACCAGUUUGUCUGAAGCAAUGUAUCAUGAGUUAACAUAAUUCUAAAAUACAACUUUCAACAACGGAUCUCUUGGCUCUC